rnacentral:lncRNA from 1 species
AAUAGUUUAUUAGAGAUGCGCCAAUACUUGGCAUAAAGGUGGUUAUCUUACAAUGGUCAUGGGUAACACUACUACUCGCAUAGAUAAGUGGACAUGUCACCUCGGAGUGAAGCAACACGGCAAGUCAUUACUACAAGCUAAGCGUUAGAGUGAGCCUUGAAAAUUAUUCAUGGUGGCGGAAGCAAUGGAAUAAUACAACAACGGACUCCAAGAUCGC